GCCGAGAUCCUGCCAUUCAUUGCACUCCAGCCUCGGAAACUAGCAAAACUCCAUCUUAAAAAAAAAGAGGAGGCCGGGUGCAGUGGCUCUGCACAACACUUUGGGAGGCCGAGGCAGGUGGAUCACCUGAGGUCAGAAAUCCGAGACCAGCCUGGCCAACAUGGUGGAACCCCAUCUCUACUAAAAAUGCAAGAAGUAGCCGGGCGUGGUGGCGGGCCCCAGUAAUCCCAGCUGAGGUGGGAGAAUUGCUUGAACCCGGGAGGCCAAGGCUGCAGUGAGCCAAGAUCGCACCACUGCACUCUAGCCUGGGUGACAGAUCAAGACCUUGUCUCAAAAAACAAGAAGAAGAAAAACUACUUUUUUUUUUUUCAGAUGGGGUCUCACUCUCACCCAGUCUGGAGUGCAGUGGCGCCAUCUCAGCUCAUUGCAGCCUCUGCCUCCUGGGCUUGAGUGAUCUUCCCACCUCGACCUUCUGAGUAGCUGGACCACAAGUGCAUGCCUGGCCAAUUUUUGUAUUUUUGGUAGAAACGGAGUUUCACCAUGUUGCCCAGGCUGGUCUCAAAACUGGCCUCCCAAAGUGCUGGGACAGACACAACUGGCCUACCUGCAGGAUUUUCAGUUUAUGGACAUGACUGAGUGGAGACAUGGAGAAGCUGUUGUUAUUGGAGAUUUUUAUUACUCGCAUUUCCUGAGCGAUGGGGACACUCACUGUGGGGAAAAGCAAGAGAGAUUCUGAUCUGUUACUGUGUCUGUGUAGAAAGAAGUAGACAUAGGAGACUCCAUUUUGUUCUGUACUAAGAAAAAUUCUUCUGCCUUGAGAUUCUGUUAAUCUAUAACCUUACCCCCAACCCCGUGCUCUCUGAAACAUGUGCUGUGUCCACUCAGGGUUAAAUGGAUUAAGGGCGGUGCAAGAUAUGCUUUGUUAAACAGAUGCUUGAAGGCAGCACGCUCCUUAAGAGUCAUCACCACUCCCUAAUCUCAAGUACCCAGGGACACAGAAACUGCGGAAGGCCACAGGGUCCUCUGCCUAGGAAAGCCAGGUAUUGUCCAAGGUUUCUCCCCAUGUGAUAGUCUGAAAUAUGGCCUCGUGGGAAGGGAAAGACCUGACCGUCCCCCAGCCCGACACCUGUAAAGGGUCUGUGUCGAGGACGAUUAGUAAAAGAGGAAGGCAUGCCUCUUGCAGUUGAGACAAGAGGAAGGCAUCUGUCUCCUGCCUGUCCCUGGGCAAUGGAAUGUCUCGGUAUAAAACCCGAUUGUACGUUCCAUCUACUGAGAUAGGGAAAAACCGCCUUAGGGCUGGAGGUUGGACCUGCAGGCAGCAACACUGCUUUGUAAAGCAUUGAGAUGUUUAUGUGUAUGCAUAUCUAAAGCACAGCACUUAAUCCUUUACCUUGUCUAUGAUGCAAAGACCUUUGUUCACGUGUUUGUCUGCUGACCCUCUCCCCACUAUUGUCUUGUGACCCUGACACAUCCCCCUCUCGGAGACACACCCACGAAUGAUCAAUAAAUACUAAGGGAACUCA
rnacentral:lncRNA from 1 species